CCUACGGGAGGCAGCAGUGGGGAAUAUUGCUCAAUGGGGGAAACCCUGAUGCAGCGACGCCGCGUGAGUGAAGAAGGAUUUAGGGAUGGAAAGCUCUAUCAGCAGGGGAGAAAAUGACGGUACGUGAUUAAGAAGCCCCGGCGAACUAGGUGCAAGCAGCCGCGGUAAUACGUAGGGGGCAAGCGUUAUCCGGAUUUACUGGGUGUAAAGGGAUCGUAGACGGCAGAACAAGUCUGGAGUGAAAUGCCGGGGCUUAACCCCGGACCUGGUUUGGAAACUGUGCAGCUAGAGUGCAGGGGAGGUAAGUGGAAUUCCUCGUGUAGCUGUGAAAUGCGUAGAUAUUAGGAGGAACACCAGUGGCGAAGGCGGCUUACUGGAGUGUAACUGACGUUGAGGCUCGAAAGCGCGGGGAGCAAACAGGAUUAGAUACCCUGGUAGUC
rnacentral:rRNA from 1 species